rnacentral:lncRNA from 1 species
CGCCGACCUCACCGCCAGAAGCGCCGCCACCUCCGCCGCCGCCGGCGACCCCUCCUCCGCCGUGCCGCCGCCGAGGAUGACGACGAAGAAGAAGAAGAUAUAAAUGAAAUAUAUUUAUUGACUUAAUAAGUUUGAUGCAUGUGCUAUUAGAUUCGUUCAUAUUGGCGUAUACUUACAAGUUACGAGGUAUGAAGAAUGCUGAUGUUUUCAUGAUUAAAUUAUCUAUUGCAUACUUUUUUUUUCUCUGCUUAUCACGAAAACUUAAUAUUCUUUGUCCUACAUAUCUAUUUGGAAAAGGACAAUGUAGGUAUAUGGAAAUCUAUACCUGGUGUGGUAAUUAAUAACAGUAGCUGGAUAUCUCUAAUAUGUCCUAGAAUAUUGGUCGGACUACCUGACCAGAAGAAAUUUUUUAACAAAAUCUAUAAUUGCCAGCAAAAGUUGUUUCUUUUCUUUUAGCUGGGUCCGUCCUUAAACAACUAAUUUUAACUUUUCAGAGAGAUGAUCCAGCACAGACCAUAUAAUCAAAAGGUUGACGUGUACAGCUUCGGCAUUGUGCUGUGGGAGCUCAUCACCGGGAUGCUCCCAUUUGCAAACAUGACAGCUGUCCAGGCUGCAUUCGCUGUAGUGAACAAGGGCGCCCGCCCGAUCAUCCCGCAUGAUUGCCUCCCUGCCCUUGGCGAGAUCAACUUCUUCUUCUUCUUCUUCGUCGUCGUCCUCGGCGGCGGCGCGGCGGAGGAGGGGUCGCCGGCGGCGGCGGAGGUGGCGACGCUUCUGGCGGUGAGGUCGGCACUCGCAGACCCGUCGGGCGCGCUCGCGUCGUGGUCCCACGCCAGCUCGUUGGAGCCCUGCGCGUCGUGGCGCGGGGUGUCCUGCUCCCCCGUGCGGCCCGGGUCCCAGCGCGCCGUCGCAUCCCUCGACAUCUCCUCCCUCAACCUCUCCGCGGGUGUCCUGCUCCCCCUUCGAGGAGGCCCUCGGCUGGCUGCGCCCGGCGGAGCUCCACCCGCGGCUCUGCUCCGCGGGCCACGUGCACCGUUAAUGGUAUAAUUACACCAUUAUACCAUUAAUGGUGUAAUGGUGUAAUUUCACCAUUAAUGGUGUAAUGGUGCACCAUUACACCAUUACGACGAAGAAGUAGCAGCAGCGCGCCCGCGUGCUCGCCCGCCGCCGCUACAUGCACCGGCCCGCGUGCACCAUUACACCAUUACGAAGAAGAAGAAGCAGCCGUCGGAGAUCGCNCUGGUGCACUAUGGACCCAAUAAAAAUAUGUGAUUUUAUUUUAAUGAAUAUAAUAAAAAAUUUAUAAAUAUUAAUAUAUAGACAUUUCAAAUACUAUAAAAUAAAUUGAAUUAAUUAAAUUUAAAUUUUGACAUCUCAAUUGUACCAAUUUAUUGGCGUCUAUGAGAUGUAUAUGUACACUAGAAACAAUCAAUGAGUUCGACUAAAUGUCAUUUUGAAUUAAAAGCCUCAACUAUGUUAAUUUGGUUAAUAUUUCAUCAACAUUUAAUUAUUUCGAUUUGAUUUUUUUUUCUAAAUUGGUUAGCUUCAUUGCCUACCAACUAUUAAAUCAAUUUGAGUACCCAUCCAUGUUUUGUCAAUUAUCUAUUAUAACUCUAAACUUUAGAAAAAUUAUAUCUAAUUUCUACAUGUUGGUGCCUAAUUUUGCUAAAUUUAAAAAAUUCUUAUAAAAUUAAAUAUAUGUUUAUAAAUUUUUAAAAAAUAUUAUAAAACCAGUCAAUUAAAAAAUUACGUAUUAAAUAACUAUUUUUUAUUUUAUCAUAAUAUUUUCAAUUAUUAAUACUACUUGAAUGGAUCGACAAAAAUAAUCUGAAUAAAAUUAAAAUAAUAAAAACUACAAAAAAAUAUACAAAAAGAAUAUGCAUUUUUGGCACAAACAAGCCUAAAAAAUAAACAUAUUAUGAACUUUUUUGUUUUGCUUCAGAAAAUUUUGAAGGUUUAUGGAGCUCCAAGAACCUAAAUAGGAACUAUCAAAAAACUAGAGACAAAAUCGGUAAUAAAAUUUUAUAUUUUAAAAUCAAAUGUUUAUACAAAUAUUUAUUUAAAAUAUAUAUUCCAUGAGUUCGGUUAUUAUAUUAUCAAUGGUACCAAGUUCUUAUUACUAUCGAAUUUUUUACUGUUAGAUCUAUCCUUUGAUUAUUUUUACCUGUUAAAUUAUACUAUUUAGCCAACCAUCCAGUCAAAUAUGCAAGACCACUAUAAUUUUAACUGUACAUCCUUUCAUCCAACGGCCGAAAAUUUGAUAACACCAAGCGCAUAGUAAUAUCGAUAAUAUAAUAACACAAUUCAUAUUUAACAGUAGUACAUACAAUAUUUUAUAAAUAUAAUUAAUAAUAUAUCCACCGUACCUGCUGCAAAGCGCGGGUGCAUCAAAUUCAGAUUCGUAAUUGCAGAAAUUUUUUGAAAAUGAAGAGCAAAUUUUCCCCGACGCCAACUUUAGCAGUUCAUCGCAGAACACAGCAGUUGUAUGUAAUUUAGCUAUAAUAUAAUACCUUUAUUUUUUAUUUUUUCUCCUUAACUUUCAAAACCUACAUUUUACUCUCUCAACAUUGUUACAUUUAGCUCUCCCUCUAUCAUGAUUUUAUCACUACUCCGGUCCAUUUAUACCGAAAAUAUCCUUUAAAAUAAUAUAAAUAUAUUAAAAAGUUAAUUUUUAUAGAAGAAAUUAAUAAGAAUAAUUUUGUUAUUUUGCCCUCUCCAUUAACGAUGUACACCCUGAAAAUAUUUUUAAAAUUUUAAAGGGGCAAAAUAUAGGUUUUUAAAAGUUAAGAAAGAAAAGUUAAAAAACGUUGACUAUAUAAAAAUUUGUGAGUAAAUUUUAGGCUAAAUUACAGAAAAUUUUUCCGUCAAAAUUCGAUUUUUCACUUUUCACCCCUGUUAUUUAAAAGCCUACACUUUGUUCCCUUGUAAAAUAAAAAAUGUUCACAGGGGGUACGGUGUGAACGGUGAUGAUAAAAUGAUAAUUUUGUCCCUCACCAUUUUGCCCCUUAUCAUGUUCACAGGAGAGAAGGUUGAGAGCAUUUUUGGCAUAAAAAAUAUAUAAUAAUAUUUUAUAAACGGAACCCUAACGGAUUACUAACGGCAGGGGGCGGAGUAAACAUCUUUCAUUUUACAAUGGUGUAAAGUGUAGAUUUUUAAAUAACAGAGAGGAAAUUAAAAAAUCGGAUUUUUUUUUUUGAUUAAACAGGACUAUACCCUAUUUUAAGUCAGCAGGGAAGACAACGGGUUUAUCAACGUCGGAUUUUGAUAGGAAUAUUUUAUGUAAUUUAGCCUAAAUUUUAUCUAUAUAUUAUAUUUAUAUAAUUCGCAGAUACAAUGACUCAUCCACAGAUGCUCACGUUCUGUAUGAAGCUGUAGUGAUAUUCUUUCUGACCAUGUAUUGUCAGUGAAAACCCUUCAUCAGAGAUUGGGUUAACAAGAUAAGUGGCGCUUGCAUGCGUACAUGCAUUGGGCACGUGAAUGUUCGGCGCUUUUGUUUUCGAACCUGGUCUUCAACAAUUUUGUUGACUGGGUCGAGCCCUUCAAAUUUGAGCAUUUUUGGUUCUGUUUGGGGAACUCAAAGAUCUUUUAUUUGUUAUGGAUUUGUUUUAACUACAUACUUAUUAUCUUUUUAACCUUUUUUUGUUCAUUAUAAUGUGAUCCUCGUUAUGAACAUAAUGAAUCCAUUCCUAUAAGAAUUUAAUUUUGCAUACAAUGUUAAUUUAUCAUAAAUUUAUUUAUUUUAUAUUUAUGGUCAAAUAAGAAUAAUAUAAAAUUUGCAUUAUGAUUGCCAUAUUAGGUUUUAAAUUAUAUUGCAUCUACACUUAUUUUGACACAGAAAGACAUGAAAAUUAUAUAAUCAUAAUUAUUGUUAGAUUAUUUAAGACUCAGCACUAAAUUAAAUUGAUGUUUGUUAGAUUAUUUAAGGCUCAGCACUAUUCAUUGUUAUUCUUGGAAAAACAAGCACGAAUUUAUAUCAAUCCAAAUAAAUUACGCGUCUCUAAUGUUACACACUUUGACCUGUAAUAGUACAUCACCAACAAAAUGAACAAGCAACUUAUUUCAUUAAAUUCAGAUUUUUAGUUGCACAUAUCCUCUGAAAAAGAAAGCAAAUUUCCCCCUACGACAGCUUCAGCAGUUCUUCGCAGAACACAGCAGAGUGCUCUUCCUCCACGCAACGCAGCAUCAAUCUGAUCCCCUGCUUCGGCGCCGGUGGCUUGAGAUAUAUUGCUGACGCGACGAUGUUCACGUCGUCGUUCAGCGUGAAAACGUAGCUCGGCUCCCCCCACCCAUAGUCAACCUCGUUGAACCCGACGCGGCUCCAAUCCGACACGGUUAGCGUGCCAUAGUCCAGCGGCACAUUGUAGUGGCUGUCCUUGGCCCCUCCGUUCAUCCAGUCGACAAACCGUGUUGAGAGCGCCUCCUUCGCGUCCCUGAUCAUGGCCACGAUCUCAACGAUCGAUGCGCUGUCGAUCUCCUCGCUUGUCCUCGUGAUUCCCACGGGGUACACACAGUUGCCGUAGUAGCCUUCGACCGACGGCAGCACGCCGUGCAGCAGGUGGCGAGUGCUGGCCGCGAAGCCCAGGCGGACCUCGGCAUUGGGGGGUAGGUUGAUGGCCUUGGCACGGCACUUGUAGAGCAUAGCAGUGACGACGUCGAAGGUCGAGCACUUGUUGCCCGUGGCAGCCCCGAAGUCAUUCUUGGUGCGGUUGAUGCUCUCCGACGAGAUCUCAAUCACGGAGGUGACGAAAUUGAAGGCAGUGAAGGACGGCGGCGGGCCGCUGCGGGGGAUCUUGGGGGGGUCCGGAAUGGCAUCGCGGGACCAGAUGGGCGUGACCGACGGCUCCGGGAGGCCUCUCGCCAUCUCGCCGACGGCUUUCAGGAACUGGGCUGCUCCCUGGCCGUCGAACACCAGAUGGCUGAAGCAGAUGCCGACUGCAAUUCCGCCGCACUUGAAUACCGUCACCUGAGGUUAGAAAGUUGACCUAUAUGAGAUCCAAGGAAUAAAGGUUUGCAAUGAAAUUCCAAGUUCCAAAACAAAAACAACCAAACCACUAUUUUAUAAAAUAACGAAACGAAAUUGUAGGAUAAAUUUCAACCUUUUUUCUUAACCAUAUAAAUAAUACUUUAUCAAAUAACACAAAUGUCAAAUUAGGUUGGCUACAUCUCUCAGAGCCGAGAGUUGGCUACAUCUCUCAGAGCGGAGAGUUUUGCUUCGCUGUGCUCGCAUUUUCCUGGGAGGAAUGAAUAGUAGGUUGGCAUGCAUCUUUGUCUUUGAUUGAAAGCUAAGGCCUACUUUCGGCUGAAACAAUCCCAAUCUAACCAAAAUAAUCAGGUUAGAAUUUGAAAAUAACUCAGAUCUGAAAAAAUAUUAAGGGAUUCAGAUUAAGAUCGGGAUCAUGAACCCAAAAUAGCUCCUUUACUUGAUAGAAAAUUAAAGUGCUUGAUAGAAAUUUUUGCCAUUACACGGCAGAUGUUAGAAUUUAGCACCAACUUCCAAUACCGCAUUGUCAAAAGAUCAAGUGGAUCAAAAUAAUCUUCCUAAAAACCUGUUCCGAUAUUAUUGGGUUUGGAUCCAAGCUAUUUAUGUGGAUUAACCAAACCCGACCCGUUAACACUCUACUGCUCUAUCCACAACCACAAGGGAAUACACCACAGAUCGCAUUAUGGGCAACAAUAAUGGGUUAAUGUCGUUGGCUUUUGCUGCUACUUCAGAUGCAAACUCUAUAGUUUUAUGUUUUUAUAAUAACAAUAAAUUAGUCACUCUAUCAAAAGGAGUAAAAUAAUUAUUAUUCUAUAAAAAAAUAUUGAUUAUCCUUUUAAUUGUAAAAACUAAGUUGCAUACAGUGCUAGAUUAUAGGAAUGAUGUAUCGUUGUCGCGAUAGUACAGGGACGAUCUAUAAAAUUUACGCUUGGAUUAUUAACCAAAUUGUUUCUGAAUCCAUACUAAAGAAGAUCUGGAUGAACACACCAAAUUAAACAUAGCAAAUAUUAUCAAAUAUUUUCACAUGAGAAGCACAGCAAAAUCUCACCAUCGCCCCCUACCCUAGAGCUAUUUAAUCGCUCCGAUCUCUACGCUGAGCACGCGAAAACCCUAAACCCCUUAAGAUCUACACACUACACGAUCAAAUCCGAUCAAAAUUAUCUGUGCGAAAUUAAGCACAAAAAUGAGAGGGGGGAUCGGAUCUGACCUGCGCCAUGAGGAUGGCGUCCUCGAGCUUCACCUCGGGGGGAGGGCGAGGGAGGAGCUCCUCUUUAGGGAUCAUGAGGGGGCGCUCGAGCUGGUUCACGUCGUCGAGGGUGCAAUCGGCCUCGGCCUCCACGAACCAGAUCCCCUCGCCGGAGCACUCGACCUCGGGGACGCCGGGGACGCUCUCGACGAUCCUCCCGGCGACGGGGAAGUAGGGGACGAGGGCGCGGGCGAAGCCCUCUCUGAUCGCGGCGGGGGCGCCGGCGCCGCCGCUGGAGAAGACCUGGAUGAAGUCGACGGAGACGCGCACGGCGGCGGUGCGGUCGAUGGAGGAGAGUGGGAGGAGGAGCGUGGAGGCCGGGGUCGGCGACGCGGGGGGGACGAGGGUUGGAGGGGCCUUGGUCACCGCGGGGCUCAUGGCGAUCGAAGCUUUUGGGGAAGAGGGAUUUGGGAUUUGGGGGUGUGGAAAUGGAGAUGGAGAUGGAGAUGGAGAUGGGGGAUUAAUGGGGGAUUAGAGAGGGGGAGGGGGUGAAUGAAUGAAUGGGGUAGGUACCGGUGGUGGACUUCUAUGGUUGACAAUGAUGUGCAUGUGCAUUUUGCAAAGGAUUGUAGUUUGUUAGCGGGGGAGGAAGUGGCCUAAAUUAAUCAAGCAUUAAGUUUAUAUAAAUAUAUAUAUAUAUAUAUAUAUAUAUAUAUAUAUAUAUAUAUAUAUAUAUNUAUAUAUAUAUAUAUAUAUAUAAAGUACAGUGUUGUGCAAUAUUUUUAUCACUUGAUUAUACUUUUUUUGGCCUCCAUUUUUCUGCAUUUCAGUGAAGAUCGAAUAAAAAAAAAUAAUUCAAAAAUAUGCAAAAGUUUCUUGCAUAAUAAUCAAAAAGCAAUACCAUAGUUUUUAAUAAACGAGAUAGGCAUGUAUAUUUUUUAGAAGUGUAGUGGCUUUUAUGUUAUUAGGUUAUUUUUUGAUGUUAAGAUUUCUGAAUCGACAACCUGCUCCAGUAGAUUUAAUAUAAAGUAUUUGAGUAUCUAGAAAAAAAAAAUGUAAUUUUAAUAUUAUUACCUAAUGAUCGUGGGAUCUAAAAUUAAAUAAAAACAAGCUUACUUAAGAAAAGAAAAGAAAAGGAAAGGAAAGAACAAGCUUGCUUAAGAGAAGUAGGAAUUAGAAGGCCGAAGAAAAACUUGAUCUGGGCCAGGUUCGUGUCGAGCCACAUUUCAAGCUACACUAAAAGUCGAUUGGCCUGGCCCGGCCUGGCAUGAAUUUAACAUAGCUAUUUUUCUUGCAAACCUGUAGACUAGCUCAAGUCUAACUUUAUUUUUAAAUAAAAUAAACGAAGUGGGUAGCAUGAUAUCUAUCUCUCUCUCUCAAAAAAAAAAAAAAAAAAAAAAAAAUCGGACAGGGUCGAGUCAAUCAAAGAAGCUAAACGGUUAGGGCCCGAACCGAUCUCAACAUUUUGGGGGCCUAUAACUUUGGAGCCCGCAUUCGACUCCGGUGAACAAGCUGAGACCAACAGGGCCCGAAGAACAUGGACCGGGUCGAAUAGGUCGGGCUAAUUUUGCUCGGACCCGUUUAACUACCCUAGUGUUAUCCAAUUUCAUUUACAUUGAUAUUUCGAGUAACCGACAUUAGAAUUUCUGAGUUAAAUAACCAUAUCCGCUAUAAACUAUCUAUGCAUAGUCGCAUGGCUUCAAAUUGAUAUUUUGGAUAACACUUUUUGGAUAACACUCUAAACUAGUGCUAAACUAGUUUUAACUGUAGAUGGGGGAGUACGGGAUCUUCUUUCGCUGAAAGUUUGGGAAUUGAAAAUACCAUCUAAAGUAAGAAAGAGGCUGGUCCGAGAAUCAACAGUGCGUGAUAUACGGCAACGAUGUAGAGACUGUUGAUCAUCUGCUUGUCGGAUGCGUAAUCAGUAGAUUUUUUAUGUAUAACAUCCUAGAAGAUAGGCACAUUCCGGCGCCUGGGAUAGAGGUCAGGGGUGCCUGGGAGCUACUGACUGGGGAGUGCCGCCAAGGGACAACUUUGAGGGAUCUAACUAGAGUCGCAAUCUGUUGGUGGAUGAUCUGGCAAGAAAGAAAUAAUAUAAUUUUUAGACACCAAUCAUUUGACCAUUUUUUGACCAUUAGACGAACCCGGGACGUGAGUAGGAAUUGGGCUAAGUGUUGCAGCUAUUCGUGACUUGGAUCUGAGUGAGGAGUAGAUUUAUUAUUAUUAUUAUUAUUAUUUUCUACGGUUUUUCUUUUUUGUUUCUAUUUGUCUUUUUUUGUUUUGAUUGCUUUGAAUGUUCUCCGAGGUCACGUUGCCUCAACCUAUGUAGCUAAAUUUAUCUGCUAAAUGAAUGAAGCGGGUAGCGUGUUACCUUUUUCUUAAAAAAAAAAAAAAACAACAACAACUUUAGGGCACCAAAACAAGUAAAAACACUUAAAUCGAAAUUGCUGGCGCAGGAUUUAUACAUCCUUGAACUCUUCUGAUUUUUACAUUAUACUAAACUUUCAAUUCAAGCGAGCUCGAAACGGCUCGAGCCAACUUGAAUUGAUUUUGAGAUAAACACGAGCCAGCUCUACAUUUUUUCGAGCUGAUCUCGAAUUGGCCUCAGCUCUCUCAUGUUCAGCUCAUUUACAGCCCUACUACAGCCCUACUAAUAACUAGUACGAUGUAUUGCUAACUUGACUUAAUUUGCCAAAUGAUACACCUUAUUAAGUUAGUAUAAGUUAAAAAAACAAGUGCAAAAUGCAUGAAUAGCCUCUGCCCUAUCUCCAUAUUGCAAUUUGACGAACAUUUGGCUUAAACAAUUUAGCCCAUGAUCCUUACCGUAUAAAGCAAUUUCAUUCCUAACCUUCUUAUCUUUCUUCAUUGACAAAAUCAAGGGAAUCAAUUAACCGAAGAAGACUUUUUUACAGUCGCAGAUGAAAUUGCAAUAUAAGAAAAAGUUUACGAAUCAGGGACUAUGCAUACAUUUACCGCAAAACAAUAUUACUUCCACUCAAAAAAAUGCUAAUGUGUGCUUUUCGAUCCGCCACGAUUAGAUCUCCCAAUAAAACGACUGUGGCAAAAGGUUACUUAGGGUUUAUAUACACUAAAAUGCUAUUAAUGAUUUUCUACUUGUAAGUAUUUUAACUUGUCGAAGCUAAUCUAGUCGAGCCAGAUAUGUCCUUCGAAAAGCUUUAUAGCUUGCUUAAAAUAAUAACACAAGGUACGUAAUGCACUUUUAGGGUAAGAUCGAAUGAGAAUUUCAAUUAAAAAUUAAAAAAGAAAACACAAAUAUCGAUCGAUUAUUUCUUUUCCCUUAAGCAAACAUGAAUCAUCUUCCUUCUUAAAACUAAUCACACCUUUUCAACUGGCCACAUUAGUAUAUGGGCCUUGUAUAAAGAAGAGUAAUAAGUUUGGACAAAGCACUAUAUAUGAAAAGUUAUUAUUUAUGCAUGUCGUGCAAUUUUCUAAAAGUUCAUGCAUCCACAGGAAAGAUAAAGCACCAAAAACUUGACGUGCACUAAACUCUCUAGUUUAAUCUUGUUUUGAGCAAAUAGAAUGAACAAAGAGCUAAUUAAUGAUACGUAACGAACUAAUUAAGUUAAAAUGCCUUAGUUAAAUGGGUUUUGUUUAUUAAUUGAAUUAGGAUCGAGUAGGUUUGAGUUGCAACUUGAACACAUUGCCCUCCAAUUAGAAGAAAAUCAUAUGGCUAAUCCCUUUGCUUUGCGAUGUGAAUUUUGAGCUGGAACGAACGAAUGUAGGUCCCGCCAAAACACCUAUACUCGGAGAAUUGUAAAAGAAGAAAGAAAGAGAUGUUAUUACUCAUUCGACAACCGUUGCACAUUUCGUGCAUUGAGGUAGCGCUGAGUUUCGAUGUUAAGUUUCGAUACUAAUUUGUUUCAGCGAAAAUAGUUGGAGUAGGAUGAUUUUACUCUGCGAGGUGCGAAUAGUAUUUCAUGAGCUAAAUUCGUAGAACAAUGAUGAAUUUUCUAUCUUAGCUGUUUAAAUUACCUAGCUAUUUACUACUUUUUUUAUCAUCAUCCACAUGAUAUCGGUAAUAACUAACGAUAAGACUACUUCCUAUUAAAUCAAUCCUCUCGGUAAUCAAAAAUAUUUGUAACUCGAUCUUUAGGGAAUGUUUGUUCAACUUAUCACAUGCAAUGCUUGUAAGUAAGUAUCUAUAGAGUAAUCAUACUAAAUACCUAAUAUCGGUCGAGAUUAGAUACAUCAUUCGCAUAUCUCGGUGAGUUAACUAAAAUACUUCCUCAGAUUUCAAAGGGAGUAUCAACUUAGGAGGAUGCUUUUUUAUUUUAGCAUGAUAUAUAAAGAAAGGUUUUAAUUAAGUUUGGUAUUUACUUAAACUAGGUAGAAUGUAAGAUACUAGUUACUUCAUCCAUAACUUGCCAUGUUAUAAUGUACUGUAAUAACAUUAAUGAAAGACAAAGAUAUUCAAAGGCCAAUUAAUUCUUAUCAAUCCACUUUAGCAAAAGGGGAGUAAUAAAUUCUAAGCCAAUUGAGUGCCAACCAUUUUCAAUUUAAUCAACUUGGUCACACUAUGAUCAAAAUGGUCAUGAAUAAUUUAGCAUAAGAUUUAAGUUAUUUACAUUAUUAAUUAAUAAAAAAGUAUUUCUUUAUUAUUUGCACCUUAAAUUCAAUUAAAUUAGUUGAAUCUUCUAUACUUUUUGUUCAAUAAUUAAAGUAAUGAAUAAUUACUUUUAUGAUAUAUCCUUCAUCAAUAUGAGAUAAAAAUUUGAGAGAGAGAGAGAAUGGGGGGAUGGAAGGUCAAACAACCACACCAAAGAAUAUCAUAUAUAGAGAAUUAAGAUUCCUAUCCCUUUUUAAAAGCAUUAGAUUAUUUUAGCCAUUAGAUCUAAUUAGGUGUUUUAAUCUAAAUAGUUUAUGUGUCACAAUCAUCCCUCCUUGAUAUCUUGUUGCAGGGGUUCACCACAAAUGUUAGUAGGAGACCAAAACGGCCUCCCUUUGACGACAUAGCGUGAGGAAUCGUACUCUAUUAGAUAUUUAGAUGCUGAAAAAAAAUAUAUAUAUAUUUUCCAUAAUAGUUAUUCUGCAUAAAAUUAAUAAUAUUAUUAAUACUAAAGAAUAAUAUUUUAAAAAAUAUUAUUUACUAUCUAUUUUUUUAGCUCUUCAGAUUUCUAGAAUAGUGGUGGUCUAUUUGAAAUAUAUAUAUAUAGUUGAGCUAAAAUACUAUCGAUGGCAAACCGGCUCUAUUGCCAUCUAUUUGUUUUCGAUGAUAGAGCCUCCAAAUCGACGAUCGGCAUCAUUGAACAUGAUCUAUACUACUUGAAGUGUUUAGAAAUCAAAUUUAAAAUCUUUUCGACAUUAUUUGCCUAAUGAUCAAAGGGUUUCAAAAUUUGUAAUUUUAAUGUUCGAUAUGAUGCGUUUUCUCGUUUAACGGCGUAAAGAUAUCCAAAUCAAUUAAUUUUUUGUUAGAAGAUUCUUUAAACUAUCUAAAACAAGAUCUGUACCCUUGAUCUUGACUAUAAGACUCCUAUUAUCAUUUUUUAAAGAAUAUUUAUUUUCAGACGUUCAUUUGUAUGUCCACUCAAUGGAUAAGAAAAUGAUAUCGAAAAUAUAUGAAAUUUGAUUUCUAAACACUUCAAGUGGUAUAAAUCAUGUUCAACGGUGCCGAUCGUCGAUUUGGAGACUCCAUCAUCAAAAACAAAUGAAUGGCAACGGAGCCCGUUUGCUACCGAUAGUAUUCUAGCUCAACUCUCUCUCUAUAUAUAUAUAUAUAUAUAUAGGCUGGAAUACUAUUAAUAGCAAAACGCUCUUUUUACUAUCAAGUUUUUAACCCUUAAAUAAAAAAUUGUAGGGUCAGGAUGAUAUUAGUUGGUUAGAGUUGAAUGGUCCCCCUAGGGUGGAGUGGUCCCCACUGGGUUAUAGUAUUUAAUCCAAUGAUUAGAAAUAAUAAAAAGAGUUGAUCCAAAGGAUAAAAAACUGGUAGCAACAAUGGGAUUUUGCUACUAAUAGUAGUCCAGUCUAACUAUAUAUAUAUAUAUAUAUAUAUAUAAGAAAAAAAAUUAUUGAUAGGUUUUAAUGGAUUAAUCCUUGAUAAUUUUGGUCUAAAUAAUUGUUAGAGAUAACAAUUUCUUAAGGCGAGGAGGCAAAUAUAGAUUUUUGGUAUCCUUAUUAAUGUGUAAAUAUUUAAAGAUGUUGAGAUUGAUUUUGCCUUUGGUGCGGGCACAAAAUCAUUCUAAUGCGGCCAAUUUGGCAUUAAAGUUUCUGGAAAAUCAUGACUCAACCAAGUUGAGUCGAAAAAUUCAUUGAGUUCAGGUAAUUUUUAAAAUCGGUGUGAGAAAAUUUUCAACGGCCAUAACACUUCUUCGCUCGAGUAUUCGAUUUUAGCGUGCGACCGCAAUUCGAAAAACACUUUUUGAGAGCUAUGCGUGGAAUCGCGAAAUCAUUUUGCCCGAGUUUGGAACCCAUAGUUAAUUGUUUCGGCCUCCUUUUUCGCAUUCUUAGAUUAUUUAAGAAAAAAAUUGCAUUUUCUUUUUAUUUUUAAUCUGAUUAUUUGAUUAUUUCCUAGUUGAUUAUGUUUAGAGAUAUAUUAGAAUUUAUUAUCCUCAUCCAGUAGAAUUCUGGUAUCGUCUAUAGGCAUAGCGUUCAGAUAUUAUAAUCAGAGUUUAAAGAAUUGAUUAAUCAGACUUUCGUCUUUAUCGAAGAAUUGAUUCUUCGUAUAUCAUCUUUUUUUAUUCUUGUGUUUAUUCAAUCUCAAUGCGGUUUAAGCUUGCGUCACAUUCAGAAAAUUUCUGCGCGCUGAGUCCGUAAAAAAUCUGUGCCUAAUUAAUGAAGAGGUGUGAUGCACUUCCACCCCUGCCAACUCUUUCUUUUGCAUGGGGUGGUCAAUGUUGCAGUUCAUCAGAAAAUGCUACUCCGUACUUCACUCAUCUCAUUUCUUUCUACCUUCAACUAUCUCCAGAGUCCAUCAUAAGUUAAAGUUUCUCCAACAACUAUAUGUAUUAAACACUAAGCUUCUUUUGAACCUCGGUUCUUAUAUUUAAGACUCUUUAAACUCAGAUAAUUAAAGCUUAAUUGCCAUCCUAUAAACAACUGCACUAAUUAAUUGGUUAAUUGGAUUGAUUGCAAUUCAAAUUAUUUGAUUAUCUCUAAUUCCCUUGUUUAAUUUGGACGGUUAAUGAUUCAUUGUUUCUCAUGUUUCCUUUUUUUUGCCGAGUUCAACAUAGAACUUCGAUAAGUUUAAGCUAAUCCGAUUAUUUUUCUUUAUUUUACUUUCUCAAAUUUAGCACAAAAGUUCUUUCUUCGAAAAUUCCUUUCGUAAUGGUGAUAAAAUCUAAACAAAAAAAAAACAUGGUUGAAUUCAAAAAAAAGAAAAAAAAUCCAAACAACAAUUUGUAACCUCAAAUUCACUUCAUAAUUAGGCAGGUUCGGACGGUCCAUAGGUGAUGUGGUGUACCGAGUCUAACCAAUAAAUUCUCCAAAAUAGAAUUUAUUUUAUAAUGUUUUCCGCACUUAGCAAAAUUUUUAAACAUAGCCAUGUUCAAGGAAAAAAAAAAAUUUGAAUGCGGAGCUGUUCAUUUAAGUUUAUUGAGACUCUUUUAAAUCUAUCGUUCAAUAUGAAAUUAAAAUUCGAAUAACAAAUUGUCAAAUUAGAAUAAAUCUUUAAAAUUUAAAUACAAAAUGAAUCAUAUCUCGCCAAAAUGUUUCAACCAAAACUUGUUGAGUGGUUUGCUAGAUAUUAUAUGUUACUUUUGAUUUGCAUGGCCUUUGCUGACACGGUGCUCCAGGCCACACGAUUUUCCUCAUAAAGUAGAAGUCGAGAAAUUUGCUUGCACUUGAUGCACCACAUCAGCUGUGCACCCACCAGUGACCUUACGUCCAUCCCAUACUUUUGUAUUAUAUAUCAAAUUCCCAUUUUAUUUACUAAGUUGCAACCUUUUGAAAAUUAAUUUACUUGAAUUUAAUUAUUUCAAUAGUAAAUAUGGAAAUGCAUUAUCUUAAACCAUUUUUUGUACAAAAAAAUCCUAAGUAAUAAACAAUUCAUGCACCGAGAUAGACAGUAAUACCAUUUAAACCACCGACCGUCCUAGUGCAGGUGGCAAACGAUUUGGUGGUUGAUAUUCGAGAUCCAACUUCGAAUCCUAUUUAAUUCAUAUUUUCAGCUAAGUUUAUCUCUAAAUGAAAUAAAUGAAACGAAUAGCAUGCUAUCUUUCUCAAAAAAAGAAAAAAAAAGUACCACUUAGACAAAAUAUAAAGCUAUGCUAUAUAGAUGUUAAAUAGGUGCAUAAGUGUAACAAGCUGACGUGGUGCACUAGGUGCAUGCAACAAUUUGUUGAGGGGGAGAGGUGGUUCAUCUUGGAGCUACCUCUCGAGAGUUAGAGAUAAAUUGGAAGAGAGAGAGAGAGAGAGAGAGAGAGAGAGAGAGAGAGAGAAGGUAGAGGUGGUUGGGCAUGCAAGUCCCAAAAUAGACUACAAGAAACCACAAAGGUGUAGGCCAAGUCAAAUGCCCUAAGCAUAUAACCAUUUAUCUUGUGCAUGAGAAGAGCAAAUAUAUGUGUCCUUAAGUUUGGUGUGUUAGCUCAUCCUCUCACACCUUUCCCCCCCCUCACUUCAUCUCCUUCUCAUUCCCACCACCCCUCUUCCUCUCUCUCUCCACUCUCUACUCCUUACACUUCUCCUUCAUGGAGUUGUCGUCGACAUCCUCGACGGCCUCUGGCCGCAAACCGCGAUACCGCAUCGAGACCAAGUCGCUGUCCUACGACCUCCCCUCGAAUUUCGGCUUCUUCGGUGCCGCCGCCACCGCCCCUCGGCCCGUACUGAAGAAUGUCACGUGCGAGGCCCCGCCGGGGGAGCUCGUGGCGAUCGUUGGCCCCAGCGGUGCCGGCAAGACAACACUGCUCUCCAUUCUCGCUGGGGCAAUUCCCCCGUGCAGAGUCCGUGGCGCCGUCCUCAUCAACGGCCGGCCGAUGGACGUGUCACGGUUCCGCCGUGUGUCCGGGCACGUCACGCAGGAUGACGCCCUCUUCCCGCUGCUCACCGUGGAGGAAUCCUUGCUGUAUAGCGCGCGGUUGCGGCUCCGUGGCACCGCCGAGGAUUCGGCGGCCCAGGCCCGAGACUUGAUCAAGCAGCUGGGGCUCAAUCACGUGGCUUCCUCCCGGGUGGGCCGUGCCGGUAUGGUUGGCGCCAUAUCGGGCGGCGAGAGGCGGCGCGUUUCGAUCGGCGUAGACCUCGUCCACGACCCGGCGGUUCUCCUCCUCGACGAGCCGACGUCGGGGCUCGACUCCGCCUCGGCGCUCCACAUCCUCACCAUACUCAAAUCCAUGGCCACACUCCACACCAAAACAAUCAUACUCACAAUCCACCAACCCGGCUUCAGAAUCCUCGAGCUCAUAGACCGAGUCAUACUGAUCUCCAACGGCUCCGCGGUGCACCAGGGUCCAGUGCACCAGCUCGAGGCACGGCUCACGGACGCGGGCCACUGCAUCCCCCUCCACGUAAACGUGUUGGAAUACGCCAUGGACGUAAUGGACUCUCUCAUAGUGCAACCACCCACAACGCCCCACGAAGAGGUCGUAGCUGCUAACACCGCAGCCACCGUUAACAACGACCGCAUAUUCUACGCGAACUCUCUAUGCGGGGAGGUGUAUAUACUCACCGAGAGGUUCUUUAAGAACGUACUGAGAACGAAGGAGCUCUUCGCGUCCAAAAUGAUCCAAUCCAUCGUGGCCGGGGUCGGGCUCGGGACUGUGUUCAUGAACGUGAGCAAUUUGCAAGCCCGAGUCGGGUUCUUUGCAUUUAGCCUCACGUUUUUACUCACCUCGACGACGGAGGGUCUCCCUAUAUUCCUACAUGAGAGGAGAAUACUACAAAGAGAGACCGCCCGAGGAGCAUACAGGGUCUCUUCCUACGUCAUAGCCAACGCCAUCGUUUUCGUUCCGUUCCUCCUCGCGGCGGCAACGCUCUACGCGCUCCCCGUGUACUGGCUUGUCGGUCUGCGGAGAGAGAUGGACCGGUUUCUAUACUUCUCGCUGGUGGUCUGGCUCGUGAUGCUCACGGCGAACGCGUUCGUCGCGUGCUUCAGCGCGCUGGUGCCGAACUUCAUCAUGGGGAACUCGGUGAUCGCGGGGCUCAUGGGCUCCUUCUUCCUCUUCUCCGGCUACUUCAUUGCGAAGGGGAGCAUACCCAGGUACUGGAUUUUCAUGCACUACUUGAGCUUGUUCAAGUACCCGUUCGAGGCCUUCGUGGUGAAUGAGUAUGGAGGAGGGAGCGGGGGGAGGGAGUGCUUGGACAUGGAGGUGGGGGGGUGUGUGCUUGAUGGGGUCAUGUUUCUCACGCAACAGGGGUUGGAGGAGUCCAAGAGGUGGAGUAACAUUGGGGUGAUGUUGGGGUUUGUGUUGGGCUAUAGGAUCCUCUGCUUCGUGUUCCUCUGGUUCAGGUGUUAUAGGAUGAGGAGAUAAAAACUAAGUGCCUAACUUGUGUGGUAUUUGUUUCUCACGAGCAUGUUUCCUAUUAAAUCGAUCUUUUAAAUCACGCGGUAUAUACCAGAGCUCGAUUUAUCUUUUCUGCGGAUGCGCGUGACGUACUUUGCGGAAUCUUCAUCGGGCAUACGGACCGAUGGUGUACGUCAAGACGAUUUCUGAACCAUUUCCUGUCGGAUCAAUCUUUCGAACUACUCACCUAAGAUUACGUACUGUUCUGAUUUAUAUCUUUUUUUUUCUGGUUUAUAUAUAGUUGAAUCUACAUUCUACCAACAACAUCUAGUGGGCUCUUCUUCUGAAGAUCCCUUCUGAGGCUCUGCUUAUAGUUACUGUUUUUCUUUUUCUUUCUUUUUUUCCCUCUCUCUUCUAAUGUUUUAAAUUGCUUGUAUCUUUGUAGACGCUGUUACAGUGAGAAUAAAUAACAUAUUUUACUCUUUUUUUCCCCUUUAUCAAUACCAGUGGGGUUUUUUUCGGAAGCUUAAGCUACCAAAAGUAAAGUUUGAUUAGAACUUUGCUGAAUACCAAAAAGAUCUCGAGAUUAAAUCCCAAAGAACAUAAAAAUCUCGUGCAUCUAAGUGCUGUAAAACCUUGGGUCUUGUAUUUAUAUAUAAAAAAAAUCAAUUUAUAAUUUGUAGAACUACUAAUUUGGGCUAUACCAUAGGAUAUGUAUGUGGUUGGAAUAAAAGAGAAGACAUUCACUAUAGUAUAAUUCUGUCAACAGCUUCUUUCUUAGAAGAAGCUAAAAUUUUUAGUUUCUACUUUGGAGCUCGGAAUUGUUUUUCAUCUUUUCACCACAGAUUAAAAAAGAUUAUCAAAACUUUUGAGUCAUCAAAUGCUCUAUUAAAAAUCACUGCAAGUGAAAGUCACAAAUUUUAUUAGAUAUCGUUUAAUUUCAAACUUAAUUAAAGUUUUUCAUCUUUUAGUUAAGUUUGAAAUUAAGCAUUGGGAUAGCGCUAUUCCACCAAAAUAGUGGAAUAGCAAAUUCCUUGCUAUUCCGGAAUAACCGGGAAUAGCAAGGUUUGACCGGGAUAAGAUAUUCCGGCCAAAUUUCAUCCCGUUUGGCGGAAUAGCGGGGAUAACUUUCGUUAUCCCCGCUUAUCCCCCAAACCAAACGGGGCCUGAGUUGCUUCGCUAAAGAAAAGUUGUUAAUGUUUAUUCAAACAACUACGCUCUUGAAUUUCAAAACUUAAAGUCAGUCCAUCUUCUCUAUAUUGGAAUAAGAAAGUUUGACAAGAAUAAUCUCCGAUGUGAGGGUGCCUCAUCGGCCGUUCACGCUACUUUGAGAUUCGUAUUGUCCACGUGAUAAAAUGGCAUGUAACCGUCCCCGCCCAAUUUUUAUUCCUUUUUAAGUAAGCCUUAUACCGAUGGGCCCGUAAAUGUUUUUUUUUUGGUUUGGAUCUUAGAGGGCUGGAUUCAGGGCCCAUCUAGUGUUUCAAGCCCAGCCCAAAAAGGAGGAGGGCGCUAAAGGCCCGAACUGGGUCUGAAGAAUGAUUAGAAUGUUCUGGGUCCGAACUGGGCCGAGCCAGCUAAAACUCAGACCCGGUCCAAUGUCACUGUCCCAGUUCUAUAAUUUUUAUUCAUAUUUAUUAAUGGAAUUGAAAGUGACUUUUGUCAAAAAAUUAUACAUAAUGUUAAUACAAAAAAAAAGGACUAUUAAGUAUUAACUUCAAUGGAAAGGAAAAUUUAGCAACUCCAAGCCUAAGGAUUGGGCAACAGAGAAUAUAUAUUAGCAAUAUGAACAUAUAUAGUUUUAGUAACAUCUCUCUCUCUCUCUCUCUUAACUAAAUAACCGUGUUUAUAUUAUAGACUCGAUCCCUUUUAAACUAAAUGAUAUAAAAUUAAGACAAAUUGAGAAUUCAUAAUUUUUUAUUCUGAUAUUAUUUGAAAUAAUAUAAAAUAAUUAUUUUUUUAAAAAAGGAUAAAGAUAUAAAAAAAAAAUGUUAACAUAUAAUAUUCAACACACACACACUCUCUCUCUCUCUCUAUAUAUAUAUAUAUAGAUGGUAGAGCCCCGGCCCCACCAUGUGUGUGGCACGUGCUGCCUCAGCCAUACUCACGUGCCCCCAUGCAGAGCCACAUGUACGUAGAUCAGUCCCAUGCAUGCAUCACUUUAAAUCCCUUCGCCCCCAAAAAAGAAAAAAACAACAAAAAAACUACUCUUUAAUUCCCUAGACAUGAUGAUUACGUCAUUGAAAGCAAACCUCGGAGUUCUCGCCCUUUCUUCUGUCCAUCACGCAAACCUAUGUACGCAUAAUAAUAAUGUUCUUGUAUACUAAACAAAUUUUUAUAACAACCUAUAUAAAAAAACUGACCGUGUCUAAAACAAGUGUUAAAAAAUUUAGUGAUUGUUAUUCGAGAUCCAAAUUUGAUUUAUAUUUCCAGCUAAAUUUAUUUCUAAAUGAAAUAAACGAAACGGUAGCGUGCUACCUAUCUCUCAAAAAAAUAAUCUAUAUAAAAAAAAUAAUUUUACUGAUUAUAUUUUAUUUAUUUUCCUUUUGAAUUGCGGCAACCACUUGAGAUUGAUAUCUUUUCGUUAAUUAAAUACAACCACAUAGGCAAUUUUAUAAAGCAUUAUAAAAUUUAUUUAUAAGCAUAAUAUUACUAUAUAUAUGUAUAUAUUAUUUGUAAGCUAUAAAACAUUAAAAUUAUUAUUUUCUAAUAGCUCAAGUUUUUAAAGAUAAUCAUUAAUUUGUUUAGUAUGACAUCAGAUAAUGCAUAGUUUAAGUAUAUGUUAAUUAGUACAGACAAUGAUAUUAAUUUUUCAAUACUAAUAAAAGCAAAUACUGAAUUAAAAUAUUCUUAAAACUUUAGAACAAUUUCAAGGAUCAAAAUAAAGCUUGGUUAGAAGUUGGGGCACCAAUCUAUUAAUGGUGAAAUUUAUAUCCUACAAAUAUUUUAACACUACCACUCCAAACCCCCUCACUGUAGAUUCCCUGCUCCUAGAAAUUCUACUUCAGCUGAAGCCCACAUGGUGGGCUUCAUGGGGAAGUGGGAAAUAGAUCAGCUUGUUUUAGGAGUGCUUCUCAUUUUUUGAGUGCUUCAAAAUGUUUCCUACUUUGUGGUGGUUUUGUGUACCUUUUGCAUAUCUAAUCUCUGUGCCCUCCUCUGAAAUGCACAUAUAUGAACUUGGUGUCUGUGGAACAGUGGUGAGCUGUGUUCCCUUCUCCUUGUUCUUAUAUUUGCAGAUUUUUGUGGGGGUGAAAAAGCUGAAAAAGUCAAUAUUUUUUUUUAAAAAAAAAUAAGCUUGUGGGGUCUUGGUAUUUGCAUGCAUGCAUGCAUGCAUGAUGGUGAAUGCAUUGUGACCACCUCCUUUUGGUUUUUUAAUCUCUGAGAUGCCUUAAUUGGAAAUUUGCUACAACUGUUAUUAUUAGAGAGAGAAGAGAUUUUUUAAAAUAAAAAGAAAAAAGAAAAAAAUAGAGGAUUGAACAUAACCUUUAACUAGUUUAUUAUUAUUUUUUUAAAUUUUUUUUUUGAGAGAUAUGUAGCACGCUAUCCGUUUCGUUUAUUUCAUUUAGAAAUAAAUUUAGCUAGAAAUGUGAAUCAACUAGGAUUCGAACUUAAGCCUCAGGUACCAACCACCAAGCUCUUUGCCAUUUGCUCUAGGGACGAUCGGUUAACUAGGUUAAUUAGUUGAGGUAAACUAAUUUAUUGUACUUACAAAAUUGAUAUCUGAUCAUCUGAUAUAUAGUCAUAUCAAAAUAGAUACAAAGAGGCAUAUGAAAUUAAUUAAUAAAUGGGGCAAGAAUUGGAAUUUGAUCGUGCUAUAUUUUUAAAACGGAGAAAUGGUCAUAUUACGUAAAAGAUUGGUUUGAUAGGAAACAAUUGAGUGAUAUACUCAACACUCGGUAUGUACUACGUACUUUGAAGAGUCGAAAAGAGAAAAAACUUCAACUACAACGUGAAGUAUGUGCAUUUUGAUGCGACUAGCAUUUGAAAGAUUUAUUCGAACUCAGACCUCGUAUUCUGCUUCUACGUAAAAUAAAUAUAUAUAUUUUUCCCAGAAACUUAAAUUAAUUACUAUAAGAAAUAGUAUAUUAAAGAAGUGCUAGCUCAUCCAAUGUAGAUAUACAAUGAUUUAAGAAUAUGUUAUUUGAUAAUUAAAUAAACUCAUCUAGAUUUUGAGGAAUUUCAACAGAAUCGAGUGUGAUCUCAUAUAUCUGUCACCCUUAUCCAUUGCAACAUCUUUAAUUAUUUUCUUGGACAAUGUCUCAACUUUGACUCGUAUAAAUCUUAAUCUAUUUAUCCAAGCUAAUAACUUAAUUAUAUAUAUAUGAAAAUUUAUACAUGCCCACUCAACACUCCGAAUGAUUCUUCAAUGUGCAAAUUAAAUACACCAAAUAAUAGAAUCAAUCAAAAUUUAAUUGAUUUUUUCAAGUUAGAAAAAAAUGAAGUAAUUAAUUAAUCUUUUCGGGUAUAAUGAGAAUCAAUUCCACAAUAUUCAUAGCAUAUUAUUAUAUACGUUUGAGAAGAGAUCAAGUUGAGUGAGUGCUCAUCCAAUGUCAAAUGAUAGAUAAAAACACAUAAGUUAUUAAUUUUCAGAAUAAAUAAAUGAAGUAAUUAAACCAGUAAAUGUGUGCAAUGGAUCCUAUCCAAGCACUAAGCUUCACCAUAAAUCUACUAAAAGUAUAUGUAUGCUUAAUAUUAUAUUAUUUUUGUAGAUUUGAGCUUUGCUCAUUAUGUAACCAAUUGACCCUUCUUCCUGAGGCAAGUCCCCAAAAACAAAGUUGAAAAAAAAAAAGAAGUAAUCGAGUAUUAAUAAAACCAGCAAGUGGAGUUAGUUGGUAGUGGACCUGCAUUUUUCAUUAAAGUUACAUCUUAGGUCUUAAUCAGAUAAAGUUAGUGGUAAUAAUAUAUAAUUAUAUAUUCUAGUGAUAAUAAUGUUAUUAUAUAUAUAUAUAUAUAUAUAUAUAUAUAUUCUUAGGAGGAAAGUAAUUAAAUUAGCUUACAAUUAAUGAAUGAAAGACACCCUCAACUACACCACUUUUCCAAAUAGUUAGCAAAAUACAUACUUAAUUUCUUUACUAUAUCCACAACAAUUAAUUUGAACAUAAUCAAUACUAAAGUUAAUAAAGUCUCUAGCUUAAUGAAUAAAAAUAACUUAAAUAAAAAAAAUCAGAAACUAAAGAGAUCUCAAUCAAAAGAAAAUUAGUUACAUAAACUAUCACAUGUGUUGAUGUUAAUACAUUGCAAGGCCCUUGUAACUCUAAGAAUGUUACCAAAAAGAUAGUUUAUUAUAUCCAAAAAGCUAAAAAAAACCUUAAAUGGUGGACUAUAUUCCCCAUUAACCAAUUAUUUAAUUACCAAACAUUGGCCUUAAGCAAUUGUACUUACAGUGAGUUAAAUUAUAUUUUUAAUAAGAAGCAUGAACUACCAACACCUCUUUUUUUCUAUACCCUAAACUAUGAAUAUACUCUGACAAUUUAAUGGAACUCAAACUUUAUAAGUUCCAUAUAUAUAUAUAUAUAUAUAGAAUUAGGCUGGAAUACUAUUAAUAGUAAAACGUUCUUUUUGCUAUCAAGUUUUUAACCCUUGGAUGAAAAAUUAUAGGAUCGGAAUGAUAUUAGUCGGUUAGAGUUGAGUGGUCCCCCUAGGGUUGAGUGGUCCCCACUGGGUUAUAGUAUUUAAUCCAAUGGUUAGAAAUAAUGAAAAGAGUUGAUCCAAAGGCUAAAAAACUGGUAGCAACAAUGGAAUUUUGCUACUAAUAGUAGUCCAGUCCAACUCUNNNNNNNNNNNCUUCUGGAAGCACGGAGCCUUCCGUGCUUCCAGGUCGUUUUUGAUGUUGCGACUUUCGAAUCGUCGAUCGGCUCUGUUAAACUUGAUCUAAAGUAUUUGAAUUACUUAGAAAAUAAAUUUUGCAAUUUUUCGAUAUCAUUUGCCUAGUGAACUAGAGGGCUCAAAAUCAACGGCUGAAAAAUAAAAAUCUAACAAAACGAUAUGACAUUAAAAUUUUAGAUCAAAGAUAUUGAUCUUGUUUUAUAUAGUAUAAAGAAUUUUCUAUCAAAAUUUCACGUGAUUUGGAUAUUUCUACACCGUUAAACUUGCAAAUGGCUCACCGCGGCCAUUAAAAUUAUUGAUUUUGAGUCCCUUCGAUCACUAAGCAAAUGAUAUCGAAAAAUUGCAAAAUUUAUUUUCUAGAUACUUCAAAUACUCUAGAUCAAGUUUAAUGGAGCCGAUCGACGAUUCGAAAGUCGCAACAUCGAAAAUGACCUGGAAGCACGGAAGGCUCCGUGCUUCCAGAAGCAUAGUAACCUCACUCUCUC